AUGAACGCUAGCGGCAGGCCUAACGCAUGCAAGUCGAGGGGGAAGUUACUUUCGGGUGACUGAGACCGGCGUACGGGUGCGUAACGCGUAUACAAUCUGCCUUUCACUGGGGGGUAGCCCGAAGAAAUUUGGAUUAAUACCCCAUAGUAUAUAGGGACGGCAUCGUUUUUAUAUUAAAGCUUAGGUGGUGAAAGAUGAGUAUGCGUUCUAUUAGCUAGUUGGAGAGGUAACGGCUCCCCAAGGCGAUGAUAGAUAGGGGUUCUGAGAGGGAUGUCCCCCACACUGGUACUGAGAUACGGACCAGACUCCUACGGGAGGCAGCAGUGAGGAAUAUUGGACAAUGGUCGGAAGACUGAUCCAGCCAUGCCGCGUGCAGGAUGAAGGUCUUAUGGAUUGUAAACUGCUUUUGUAAGGGAAGAAUAAGGGCUACGCGUAGUUUGAUGACGGUACCUUACGAAUAAGCAUCGGCUAACUCCGUG
rnacentral:rRNA from 1 species